UUGAACGCUGGCGGCAUGCUUUACACAUGCAAGUCGAACGGUAACAGGCCGCAAGGUGCUGACGAGUGGCGAACGGGUGAGUAAUGCAUCGGAACGUGCCCAGUCGUGGGGGAUAACGCAGCGAAAGCUGUGCUACUACCGCAUACGAUCUAUGGAUGAAAGCGGGGGACCGUAAGGCCUCGCGCGAUUGGAGCGGCCGAUGUCAGAUUAGGUAGUUGGUGGGGUAAAGGCCCACCAAGCCAACGAUCUGUAGCUGGUCUGAGAGGACGAACAGCCACACUGGAACUGAGACACGGUCCAGACUCCUACGGGAGGCAGCAGUGGGGAAUUUUGGACAAUGGGCGCAAGCCUGAUCCAGCAAUGCCGCGUGCAGGAAGAAGGCCUUCGGGUUGUAAAGCUCUUUCAGCCGGAAAGAAAGCGUGCAGAUUAACACUCUGGAUGGAUGACGGUACCGGAAGAAGAAGCACCGGCUAACUACGU
rnacentral:rRNA from 1 species